CGGUGAAUACGUUCCCGGACCUUGCACACACCGCCCGUCAAGCCAUGGAAGCUGGGUGUACCUAAAGUCGGUAACCGCAAGGAGCCGCCUAGGGUAAAACUAGUAAUUGGGGCU
rnacentral:rRNA from 1 species